UGUUUUAUGUUGCUGUGAUUAUAAAAAUAUCAAUUGAUAAACGGACAUUUAUUUCGGCCGGACGUACAGCCUACAGCCUAUUCUCAUACCCUCACAAAAAUCACCACCCUCACUAUUGUGCGGCUUUCCGUAUGCUGAAGCGAUUUCAAAAGCACAAAUACUCAAAAUUUCCUCACAAAUUUGCGAUGUGUGAAAGCAAACCUCCCAAUGCAAAAUCGAUUAUGUUUGUUGAAAGAAAUUUGCAAUUACUUUAUUGAAAUAGAAUGGAGGAACUAUUCUUCCAAAGGCGUUAUCUAUUAUAACUAUAAGUAUUUGUCUAUUAACAAUAAAUAUGUAACUUACCGUCUUUGUACAUUUAACUACCUUCUAAGUAUGAAUAAAAAAGACAUAUACAUUAGGA